CUGAGUUCCCUCACGGUAAUCCUUACGGCAAAAAAGUAAAUAUAGGGUGAAUGUUCAUCUUAUGAACAGAGGUAUCACUCACUAUGCCUGCCUCAACUCAGCUGUUUUCUCUUGUUACUGGUCUUUUGGUUGGAAAUAUCUUUGGUGUUUAUUUAGCUCAAACAUAUGAGCUGCCAGAUCUUCACAAUGCCAUGGAAUACCUUUUCUCCAAAGCACAGGAAUAUGAGAAACCACCUAAAAAGUCUGAUGAUUAAAAAGACAAGUGACAUGGGACAAGCUUUUGUCUUAAAAGUCAGAGAGAACAGUGAGAUGGGAGUAAGAGAACCUUUUGUUGAUCAGCAUGAGAUGGACAUGAAAAAGUGGUCAAGCAUUUCCCACAAAUGAGAAAAAUUAUUUCUUAGAUUUGACCAACAUCAAGACAGAGAAACAACAUUUUCUUCUGCUUAUACAAUCUUCAUCUCUAACCUUAAAAAGCUAGUAUCACUGAAAUGCACUGAAUUUUCCAAAGGAGAUUCAAUAAAUAAAAUCUUUACAUGGACAUAAUGUUAAAACUUUAAGUGGCACACCACAUCACAGGCUUAGAGUGGACCUACCAGUACAUGUGAAGUGUUCUCAACAAAGUCUUAACCAGAGGGCUUGGUGAUAAAGAAUGUGUUGAAACAAGUGCCAUGUAUAUCUGAGUCUGUAGUGAUAGAAGUGUAUUUCUGUGAUUCCAAGUCUACAUGUAAUCUGCUGUGGCCUUAAUAAAACCUCCCUGUAAAGCAUCUUAACUUUGAACAAUCUAAUCUAGGAUUAAAGAUUAUUGUACAGGGAAACAUAGAGUCUUAUUUCAAAUGCUCUUGUUUGUUUUGCUAAAUAGAAGUACAAUAUAUACAUUACUGUAAGCUCAAAUCAGCAAUAUCAACAUCUUGCUAUUAAUCACCAUUGGGUAGCUGUUCAGAAUAAUCUUUAGGUAACUAUAAUAGUUUUUAUAAAUGUUCUGUGUGGUUUUCUUAACCCUUCAACUCCCAUGAGUGACCAAGACAUAAUUUCUCCUUACAAUAUCAAUACAAUAUCAAGCAGACAAGUAAUAAGAAUAAAGGCAAAUAUCAGUUAAGAGAUUAUAACUUGAUCUAAUACCAAAUUCUCCAAACACACAUCACAAGAACUGUACAGCAGAUAGUUAGGAGAAUUACAAAUAAGAUCUUGGUAGUUAAAGGGUUAACUGUGCAGACAAAUUUACUAUUUACAUGUUUCGUUCAGAUUUCCCUCAAUUCAAGAUUAAAGCCCAAAACCGAUCAGCCCCUCUUAACUCUUAAAAAAAAAAAGUGUAACCCUUUACACCCUAAGAUUGACCAGCAUCUAAUUUCCUCUCACAUCAUCAUCAUCCCUGAAUCACUCCCUA